rnacentral:misc_RNA from 1 species
GAUGAAGAACGCAGCGAAAUGCGAUAAGUAGUGUGAAUUGCAGAAUUCAGUGAAUCAUCGAAUCUUUGAACGCACAUUGCGCCCUUUGGUAUUCCAAAGGGCAUGCCUGUUCGAGCGUCAUUUGUACCCUCAAGCUUUGCUUGGUGUUGGGCGUCUUGUCUCUAGCUUUGCUGGAGACUCGCCUUAAAGUAAUUGGCAACCGGCCUACUGGUUUCGGAGCGCAGCACAAGUCGCACUCUCUAUCAGCAAAGGUCUAGCAUCCAUUAAGCCUUUUUUUCAACUUUUGACCUCGGAUCAGGUAGGGAUACCCGCUGAACUUAAGCAUAUCAAUAAGCGGAGGA